UACGUAGGGUGCAAGCGUUGUCCGGAAUUAUUGGGCGUAAAGAGCUCGUAGGCGGUCUGUCGCGUCUGCUGUGAAAACUCGGGGCUUAACCCCGGGCCUGCAGUGGGUACGGGCAGACUAGAGUGCGGUAGGGGAGACUGGAAUUCCUGGUGUAGCGGUGAAAUGCGCAGAUAUCAAGAGGAACACCUGAGGUGAAGACGGGUUGCUGGGCUGACACUGACGCUCAGACACGACAGCAUGGGGAGCGAACGGG
rnacentral:rRNA from 1 species